rnacentral:rRNA from 1 species
CCUACGGGUGGCAGCAGUGAGGAAUAUUGGUCAAUGGGCGCGAGCCUGAACCAGCAAAGUAGCGUGAAGGAUGAAUGCUCUCCGGGUUGUAAGCUUCUUUUAAAAAGGAAUAAAGUGAGGCAGGUGUGCCUUUUUGUAUGGACUGUAUGAAUAAGGAUAGGCUAACUCCGUGCGAGCAGCCGCGGUAAUACGGAGGAUACGAGCGUUGUCCGGAUUUAUUGGGUUUAAAGGGAGCGUAGAUGGGUUGUUAAGUCAGUUGUGAAAGUUUGCGGCUCAACCGUAAAAGUGCAAUUGAUACUGGGUGCCUUGAGUACAGUUGAGGUAGGAGGAAUUCGUGGUGUAGCGGUGAAAUGCUUAGAUA